CCUACGGGAGGCAGCAGUGGGGAAUAUUGCACAAUGGGGGAAACCCUGAUGCAGCGACGCCGCGUGAGUGAAGAAGUAUUUCGGUACGUAAAGCUCUAUCAGCAGGGAAGAAAAUGACGGUACCUGACUAAGAAGCCCCGGCUAACUACGUGCCAGCAGCCGCGGUAAUACGUAGGGGGCAAGCGUUAUCCGGAUUUACUGGGUGUAAAGGGAGCGUAGACGGCAGCGCAAGUGUGGAGUGAAAUCCCAUGGCUUAACCAUGGAACUGCUUUGGAAACUGUGCAGCUAGAGUGCAGGAGAGGUAAGCGGAAUUCCUGGUGUAGCGGUGAAAUGCGUAGAUAUUAGGAGGAACACCAGUGGCGAAGGCGGCUUACUGGACUGUAACUGACGUUGAGGCUCGAAAGCGUGGGGAGCAAACAGGAUUAGAUACCCGAGUAGUC
rnacentral:rRNA from 1 species